GAAAAUUUAGUUAAAAUAUAACAUUAGUCUGUCUAACUAAAAUUAUUAAAUUUAAUAAUUUUCA
rnacentral:tRNA from 1 species